CCCACCAAAAUUACACUUAAUUUUCGGCCAAUUCUCAUAAGUCCAAGAUAACCCUAUAGGAAUAAGUAGCAAAACAGUUUUCACGCCACGGCUGCUCCAAUGCCGUCAAGCUGCUUCUAUUUCUUCGUUGCUUCAUCCUUGGUUGCUGCUCUUCUAUUGCUUUUAGAAUUGUGGUGCUCAUUCAACUAAAGAAAAUUGUGGACUAUGAGGAAGCAAAUAAAUACUGAACAGGGUGUGCCGGAUCUAAUACUCCUUCACCGGUUGAUGCAAGUAGUGCACGAGCUAUAAGAGGCCAAAAUCUACGACAUUCUUCUGGCUCAACUCAUGCUCCGAGUCUUGAAAAGGAAAAUGCGGAUGAUGCAAUUGGAAAUGGUGGCCGCAAAUCAAUUUGAUCUACUAAAGUGGAUGGUGAAGACAUUUUGAACAAUUGUGAUUAAUAUAUAUAUAUAU